AACGAACGCUGGCGGCAUGCCUAACACAUGCAAGUCGAACGAGACCUUCGGGCCUAGGGGCGCACGGGUGCGUAAGGCGUGGGAACCUGCACUUAGGUUCGGAAUAACUCCCCGAAAGGGGUGCUAAUACCGGAUAAUGUCUUCGGACCAAAGAUCUAUGGCCGUUGGGUGGGCCCGUGUUAGAUUAGCUGGUUGGUAGGGUAAAAGCCUACCAAGGCGACGAUGCAUAGCUGGUCUGGGAGGAUGCCCAGCCACACUGGGACUGCGACACGGCCCAGACUCCUACGGGAGGCAGCAGUGGGGAAUAUUGGACAAUGGGCGCUAGCCUGACCCAGCAAUGUCGCGUGAGUGAGGAAGGGGUUAGGGUUCUAAAGCUCUUUUACCCGAGGCGAUAAUGACGGUACCGGGUGAAUAAGCUCCGGCUAACUCCGUG
rnacentral:rRNA from 1 species